rnacentral:misc_RNA from 1 species
AACGCAUAUUGCGCCCUCUGGUAUUCCGGGGGGCAUGCCUGUCCGAGCGUCAUUGCAACCCCUCAAGCCCGGCUUGUGUGUUGAACGGCAGUCUAGCUGAUGACUGGUUCCAAAUGCAGUGACGGCGUCACCAACUGGUGCUAAGUUGUAUGGGUAUUAUCUACGCAGCUUUUAGCGGGUUGGAGGCGCUGGUUCUAACUAUAUCUUUCUGUGGUUGACCUCGGAUCAGGUAGGAAUACCCGCUGAACUUAA